GUUGGGGUAGGGGUUGGAGGAGUGGUAGUUGGCUUCCAUAGUCUGCAGCCACAGCCGCAGCGUCGUCUCCGAGCACUUCAAGAAUUCACAGACCCCAAAGCGAGCGAAGAUUUUGAGACCAAGAAAAGUCAAAGGCCUUUUCUGAGUGGCAGUCUCCAGUUCAAAGACAUUAAAGUCCCAGUUGUCAUCGUUUUCCAUGGCCUCAGCUAUCCGCGGUGGGAUAUCGUGAAGGGACUCGGAGGUGAGUCAGCUGCCCGAAACUUGAUGCAGCUUUUUGUUGAGAGCGGAUGCUCAUUACCACAUAGUCUUCGAAAACCGUCAGACAUCAGGCCCCCAAUGAGGUCCUUGGUGUGAGGAUCCCCUUCCUUCGCCCCGAACUGUGGUGAAGACAGCCCCGAGGUUCUCAGAAUUUCCAGGACGCGGUCUAAGGCUUCGGUCACAGGCAUGGAGCUGUUCUCCUGGGCAGCACUGAUGAUACUGAUCACCUUGGUGAUGGGCGCCUCCAUGGUCAUGGAGUGGAUCCGGGCUGUGGAGGAGGGUCGCCUCUGGCUGGCCACUGUGGGCGGGUCAGAAUGAACAGACUCCGUGAUCUUCUCGGCCGUUGUUCCCUCGGAUGAUGGACACAUAGUGUCUAAUUUUUCCUCCCUGUCCAAUGACAGGUAUUACUUCACAUUUUGUGGUACAUUAUCUCCGUUUUGGGCGUGGUGAACGCCUUGCCACUCUUGUAUGUAGUUGUCCUCACUCGUGAUUUUAAUGGCGUCUUGGCUGUUCUCCAGUGCAGUGAAUACUGAAUUACAAGCCCUGAGUUUCAGCUGUGACCGCCCCUCUCCAAACUCCAGCUGCAGCAGCUCUGCAUAACAGGCCGCCAGGAGGCUGGGGUUCUCCACGUCCUCCUCCUAAAGCCAGCACGAAUGAGGGACAUCACAGACUCUUCUCCAUCCCGCCUGCUACUACACCAACGAUAACUGUGUUUUCUGAAACUUUUGUUGCUCCAAUAGACCUGCACAGCGUCAGGGCGUCCAGCUGCUGGGGGUUCUGUGGUCGAUGAUGAUGAUGUCCUGAUUUGCAGCCAGGAAACAGGUCAGGACAGCCUGGACCUCCAGGGCCACCGUGCACUUAAACCCUGCUUUUUCACACGCCUUACGGAGCCCUUCACACUGGCUAUCUUCUCUGACAAACGCCAACAGUACCUGUUGAUCUGCAUGGGCGCAGAAACCUCAUGGGGCCAAACUGCACGUGAGAUGUUGGACUCUGCUGAUAAUGAGAACAAGGUGCCCUGAAGCUGUGGAGAGCUUUGGACACAGGAGCCUUGGUGAUCUUUAAAACAACCUAAGCCAGAUCAUGCUCCCCCAGCCUGCCGGAGCAUUUGGAUACAUCACAAAUCCUUAACCUGGCCUCCGGGUCCUGUGUACGCCUCCCACCUCAUCCCAUGCCUUGCUAGGCUCACAGCUUUCUAACCCCAGGAGCCUCCUUCGGUUCCUCAAAACUGCCCAGUUCUCCCAUCCAAGUACUAACCAGGCCCGACCCUGCUUAGCUUCCGAGAUCAGAGGAGAUCGGGCGCGUUCAGGGUGGUAUGGCCAUAGACAAAACUGCCCAGUUCUGUGCCACCUCAGGCCUGUGGGCAGUUUCCUCUGCCUGGGACCUUUUCCCUCCACACUGUGCCCGGCUAUUGCUUGUUUGUUCUUCAGGCCUCUUCUUAGAUGCCUGUUCAAAGAAGCCGUUACUCACCAGCCCUCUCAGCCUACAUUAGGACUCCUUUAUUCACACAGAUCAUACUUUCUACAUUUGUGUGAUUAUUUGAUUAAUAUAUUUUACCCAAAAAAACGGUGUUUAUUUUGCUGAGCACUUUAUCCCUAGUGCCCAGCACAGUACCCGAUGCGUAGUAGGUGAUCAAUAUUUGUUUGAAAUAAUAUUUUUUUCUGUUGCUAUAUGGUCUUCAAAACUAUAAUCUAAGAGCUGCAUAAUACCGGAUAGUUAUCCCUUUAAUGGCUUUCCUAAGACAUUUGUUUCAUAUGCAGCUGAAAGAAUUGAAGUCUAAUGGUCAAGAGAAAAAAAUGUUCAAAGUCUCUGGACCAGCCAGCAGUAUCAGAAAUCUGAACACACUAAUAAUAACAUUAUAUGUGUACAUGGUGAGCCUCAUUUUGCUGUUGAAAGAAAAAAAAUACAGAUUAUAGGUUUUGAAAUCAAUUUAGUGGGUUGUGAGCAGCACAGCUUUUAAAAAUAGAACAGAAUGAAAAAUGUCAGAAUGCUUUGCAGGCGAGAAGAUAAGGACUGUUUUGUAAAACUUUCACAUAUAUAUAACUUGUUUCCGUUUUAUGUAAUAUAACUAUAGAUAAAGUGGAAGUAUGUAUUGGUUUGCAGUGUAAAAUAUACUUCUUUUUUUCAUAUUUGUUCUUUAUUUAAAAAUGAAAAUGUAAAGGAAUAUUCUUUACAUUAGUAGAUAAAGUACAUAUUGUGCUUGGAUUUCAUUUAAGUCUGGGUAAUUGUAUCUUUUUAAACUUAAUUAAAAAUAUUGGUAUAUCAGA